rnacentral:rRNA from 1 species
CAAUAGCGUAUAUUAAAGUUGUUGCGGUUAAAAAGCUCGUAGUUAGACUUCAGCUUCGGAGCACCGACCUGCUUAGGCGGCGUCUGGUACAUCCGGGGUUUCGCCUGGUGUUUAAGUUGGCGCUUGACGGCGCUGCUUGACCUCCAGGGCAUUUACUUUGAGGAAAUUAGAGUGUUUCAAGCAGGCAACUGCCUUGAAUAUAUUAGCAUGGAAUAAUAGUAUAGGACUCCGGUUCUAUUUUGUUGGUUUCUGGGACCAGAGUAAUGAUAAAUAGGGAUAGUCGGGGGCAUUCGUACUUAACUGUCAGAGGUGGAAUUCUUGGAUUUGUUAAAGACGAACUACUGCGAAAGCAUUUGCCAAGGAUGUUUUCAUUGA